rnacentral:rRNA from 1 species
CACGUGGGAAUCUACCUCCUCGCAGGGAACAACCUCUCGAAAGAGAGGCUAAUACCCAAAAGGGUCAGAAAUGAUCAGAGUCGAAAGGCGUGAGGAGAGGAGCCCGCGGCCCAUCAGCUAGUUGGUGAGGUAAUGGCUUACCAAGGCUACGACGGGUAGGGGAUCUGAGAGGAUGUCCCCCACACUGGAACUGAAACACGGUCCAGACGCCUACGGGUGGCAGCAGUGAGGAAUAUUGGACAAUGGGCGAAAGCCCGAUCCAGCAACGCCGCGUGGAGGAUGAAGGCCUUCGGGUCGUAAACUUCUUUAGAGGGAGACGAGAAAGGACGGUAUCCCUAGAAUAAGCGGCGGCAAACUACGUGCCAGCAGCCGCGGUAACACGUAGGUCGCGAGCGUUAUCCGGAUUUACUGGGCGUAAAGCGCUUGUAGGCGGUUCUGUAAGUCGGGCGUGAAAUCUCCGGGCUUAACCCGGAGUGGCCGUUCGAUACUGCAGGGCUUGAGGAUGCUAGAGGGUGGUGGAAUUCCAGGUGUAGUGGUGAAAUGCGUAGAUAUCUGGAGGAACAUCCGUGGCGAAGGCGGCCACCUGGGGCAUUCCUGACGCUGAGAAGCGACAGCUAGGGGAUCAAACGGGAUUAGAAACCCCGGUAGUCCUAGCCGUAAACGAUGGACGCUAGGUGUUGGCAGAUCUAACCCUGUCUGCGCCGAAGCAAACGCGUUAAGCGUCCCGCCUGGGAACUACGGUCGCAAGAUUAAAACUCAAAGGAAUUGACGGGGACCCGCACAAGCAGCGGAGCGUGUGGUUUAAUUCGAUCUACACGAAGAACCUUACCCAGGUUUGACAUACUAGUGGUAGUGAACUGAAAGGGGAACGACCCGCAAGGGAGCUAGUACAGGUGUUGCAUGGCUGUCGUCAGCUCGUGUCGUGAGAUGUUGGUUUAAGUACCCUAACGAGCGCAACCCUUAUUGCCAGUUACACGUAUCUGGCGAGACUGCCGGCCACAAGCCGGAGGAAGGCGAGGAUGACGUCAAGUCAGCAUGGCCUUUAUAUCUGGGGCUACACACACGCUACAAUGGGCGUAACAAUGGGAUGCCAAGCCGUGAGGCGGAGCCAAUCCCCCAAAUACGUCCUCAGUUCAGAUUGCAGGCUGCAACCCGCCUGCAUGAAGUCGGAGUUGCUAGUAAACGCGCGUCAGCUAUAGUGCGUUGAAUACGUUCCCGGGUCUUGUACACACCGCCCGUCACACUAUGGGAGCUGGUAAUACCUGAAGCCGGUAGCCUAACCGCAAGGAAGGCGCCGUCAAAGGUAGGGCUGGUGACUGGAGUGAAGUCGUAACAAGGUA